rnacentral:rRNA from 1 species
CAGGUUUACCUGUGUGACUGCGUACCUUUUGUAUAAUGGGUCAGCGACUUAUAUUCUGUAGCAAGGUUAACCGAAUAGGGGAGCCGGAGGGAAACCGAGUCUUAAUUGGGCGUUAAGUUGCAGGGUAUAGACCCGAAACCCGGUGAUCUAGCCAUGGGCAGGUUGAAGGUUGGGUAACACUAACUGGAGGACCGAACCGACUAAUGUUGAAAAAUUAGCGGAUGACCUGUGGCUGGGGGUGAAAGGCCAAUCAAACCGGGAGAUAGCUGGUUCUCCCCGAAAGCUAUUUAGGUAGCGCCUCGUGAAUUCAUCUCCGGGGGUAGAGCACUGUUUCGGCUAGGGGGCCAUCCCGGCUUACCAACCCGAUGCAAACUGCGAAUACCGGAGAAUGUUAUCACGGGAGACACACGGCGGGUGCUAACGUCCGUCGUGAAGAGGGAAACAACCCAGACCGCCAGCUAAGGUCCCAAAGUCAUGGUUAAGUGGGAAACGAUGUGGGAAGGCCCAGACAGCCAGGAUGUUGGCUUAGAAGCAGCCAUCAUUUAAAGAAAGCGUAAUAGCUCACUGGUCGAGUCGGCCUGCGCGGAAGAUGUAACGGGGCUAAACCAUGCACCGAAGCUGCGGCAGCGAACGUAUCACCCAAGACAACUUUACGGAGUUGACGAUUGACGGAGCGAAGCGACGUCAAAGCGUUCAUUAAAGUCGAGUUGGCUUAGGGAUACGUUCGUUGGGUAGGGGAGCGUUCUGUAAGCCUGUGAAGGUGGCCUGUGAGGGUUGCUGGAGGUAUCAGAAGUGCGAAUGCUGACAUAAGUAACGAUAAAGCGGGUGAAAAGCCCGCUCGCCGGAAGACCAAGGGUUCCUGUCCAACGUUAAUCGGGGCAGGGUGAGUCGACCCCUAAGGCGAGGCCGAAAGGCGUAGUCGAUGGGAAACGGGUUAAUAUUCCCGUACUUGGUGUUACUGCGAAGGGGGGACGGAGAAGGCUAUGUUGGCCGGGCGACGGUUGUCCCGGUUUAAGCGUGUAGGUGUGUGUUCCAGGUAAAUCCGGUUCACUUUAACACUGAGGCGUGACGACGAGGCACUACGGUGCUGAAGCAACAAAUGCCCUGCUUCCAGGAAAAGCCUCUAAGCAUCAGGUAACAUCAAAUCGUACCCCAAACCGACACAGGUGGUCAGGUAGAGAAUACCAAGGCGCUUGAGAGAACUCGGGUGAAGGAACUAGGCAAAAUGGUGCCGUAACU